rnacentral:lncRNA from 1 species
AGGUCUCCUGUGGGUUUGCAACAGCUGAGGAGAGUUUGGAGGGACCAUAGGGAUCUCAGACUAAAGACUUCCUCACAGCUUGAGUUCUUACACAUUACUGUCUCAUAAAUAUGCACCAACACACAAAUAAUUUCUAUUUUCAAGAUACAAAAUGAAAUAACAGCAGAUGAAAUCCAAAAUACAGCCAUAGAGAAAGCUGCUCUUCCAGAUGGAUCUGCUUUUUAGAUACUUGUCUGGCUCUUCAUCUUCAGUGGAAUGUUUUCACUGGGUGAAGAUUAUUACAGGAAAAAAGAGCGGACUGGACUGAUUGCAGGAGAAGUAUUCUUUCCAGAUGACCCGAUGACCCAUCAAUUUAAUUUAUUUUGUUUAAAUUA